AGUCCAUGAAGAGGACACCCUCUCAACAAAUCCUUAAAUCUCUCCCAUGUAUCAUAAAGUGUCUCAAUAUCAAACUGAACAAAAGAAGAAAUGUCAUUCCUCAACAU
rfam:Gossypium hirsutum cultivar TM-1 chromosome 17, whole genome shotgun sequence